rnacentral:pre_miRNA from 1 species
CAAGUACUCCCUCCAUCCGGAAUUACUUGUCAUCAAAAUGGAUGUGUCUAGAACUAAAAUACAUCUAGAUACAUCCAUUUCAAUGACAAGUAUUUUCGAACGGAGGGAGUACAAG